rnacentral:lncRNA from 1 species
UGUGCAGCCCCUGUGCAAGGCGUGUGAAGUGUGCAAGCCCCGUGCAAGCUGUGCGAGCCCUGUGUGAGGUUGUGCAAGGUGUGCAAGCCCCGUGCAAGCUGUGCAAGCCCCGUGUGAGGUUGUGCAAGGCGUGCAAGCUGUGCAAGGCGUGCAAGCCCCGUGCAAGCUGUGCAAGCCCCGCGUGAGGUUGUGCAAGGUGUGCAAGCCCCAUGCAAGCUGUGCAAGCCCCGCGUGAGGUUGUGCAAGGCGUGCAAGCCCCGUGCAAGCUGUGCAAGCCCCGUGUGAGG